UACAGAGGUCUCAAGCGUUGUUCGGAUUCAUUGGGCGUAAAGGGUGCGUAGGCGGCGCGGUAAGUCGGAUGUGAAAUCUCGGAGCUUAACUUCGAAACUGCAUUCGAUACUGCCGUGCUUGAGGACUGGAGAGGAGACUGGAAUUUACGGUGUAGCAGUGAAAUGCGUGGAGAUCGUAAGGAAGACCAGUGGCGAAGGCGGGUCUCUGGACAGUUCCUGACACUGAGGCACGAAGGCCAGGGGAGCAAACGGG
rnacentral:rRNA from 1 species